rnacentral:lncRNA from 1 species
GCCGAGUUCCAGCCAAUCACAGGCAUCCGCAGAACCCGGGACGGAAGGAACAUGCAGUUUCAGACUUAACUUUCGGCGGGCUCCCGGGUUCCCAGUGCUUCUUUGCUUAAGCUGCUAAGGGUAACAUAUUAACAUAUUUCACCGAUGAGGAAAUGUCGCUUGCUUCCGUUCUGUGCGUCGUGGACAGAUGGCGUCCCAAAGCACUGAAGCUCCUAGAGGAUACGUGUCAGUAUCCUGCUCUGGAAAAGAUGCGGAUGGCUGUUUUCCCAAACUCCGUCCUUGGGUAUCUGCUCACCCUUAUGCUUCUGCAGCUGCCCACACUGGAUGCAGGUCUUCUGUAAACCGUAAUACAGCACAUGUUCCACCUGUUCUCCCAGCGCUCUGCUCUUCCAACAACAGGGCUCGAGUUCCACUGCUACUGCUCUUUGCCUGCGCCUCUUGCUGUUGGACUUUGUGUUCCUCUGCCGGAAAGAGCACUUCUUCUCUCUGCCUAUUCAGCUCUUAUCUGCAUUUCAAAGGCCACGUCAAAUGA